GACGUAGGGUGCAAGCGUUUGUCCGGAAUUAUUGGGCGUAAAGAGUUCGUAGGCGGUUACUUAAGUCUGGUGUUAAAGACGGGAGCUUAACUCCCGCAUGGCAUUGGAUACUGGGUGGCUAGAGUGCGGUAGAGGUCUCGGGAAUUCCAGGUGUAGCGGUGAAAUGCGUAGAUAUCGAGAGGAACACCUGCGGCGAAGGCGGGUUGCUGGGCUGAUACUGACGCUGAGGCGCGAAAGCGUGGGGAGCGAACAGG
rnacentral:rRNA from 1 species